rfam:Flavobacterium sp. A45 NODE_25_length_53103_cov_13.9641_ID_49, whole genome shotgun sequence.
CCUUAGCCCCGAUUACAGUGAAAAUCAUUAUGUGCCGGGGUUCGGCACAUAAUAUUGCAACGGAAAGCGGGACGAUGU